CUAGCUUGGGAGCUAACUCAACACCAACGUUAGCCUACCAAACAGAUGAAGUGUCUGCCCCUCCGGUGUCGUCUGUUGAUAACACCGCGCCCCUUCUUUUCCCCUGCUCUUCGUUUGGUUUAUUCUACCAUCGCUUCUACACAACAGAUCGAUUAAAUGUGUUUUUAAACUUACAUAUCUUCCCCCGCAGGCUCUGUAAGACCCGAAUCCUCACGUCGUCUUCUUCCGCCAUGGUCUGAUGUGACUGCCGCUGUAGCCUCGGUACAUUCAACGAUGUCUUAUCAUAUCCGUUUAUGAAUGCGAGCAGGGCCAGCCCAUACCAAAUCGUCACUAGGUGGACUCAUGCACACUUUUCCAGCGAGGUCUGAGAAAAAAACGUUUCGGUUCCGUAAAAUGUCUCGCUGGGCGUUCAAUUUAACUUUUCUUAUAAACCCUCGUGGACUUCAUAUCAAGAUUUAUUCGACGUUUUUGGUGUUAACGCGACGAGCGCAAUUGAACUGGCGGCAGGGGAGGGGACGUACACUACAGUUGACCAAGAAAAACACUGUCGCUGUUUGAAGAUGAAAGCAGAUCUUUUGUUUUGGAAUGCGGUUCUUGGAAGGAUUUUGUCGCAACAGACGGGAAGCCAGCCUUUCCUUCCAUCUUCGGUGCAGUGUUUCCUGUACAAGUACCCGUUCCUUCCUCAUUGCAUCUGAGGAGCCGCUUUCCAUGCAGUUGUUGCAGACGUAAUCUCCACCGCCAGGCACCUCCCCGGGUGGACCCUGUUCUCCACACGUCCGACAGAAACACGGAUGGGAACCAAUUACAUGGGCCCUCAAGCCGGACUCUGUGAUGAAGGAGCUGUCGCAGAUGUCACAUUUGUAGGAGGCUCUUGGCGAACGGUUCCUGAUGUUGCAUUGUGUGUCCGUGCUGUUGGCUGAGGUACUAUUGUCUGUUGCCAGGCUUCUCCUCUCUGGGUAUCCCUCUUUGGCUGGAGCUCUGGCUACUGAAGUUGGAGGUAAAGAAUAUUGUUGAUCUUUUCUGUGUUUGAAUCUCAUCUUCUUCUUUUUUUUUUUUGCUUUAUAUGAAUAGUAGGGACGCCAGGAUUUGUCGGCGGCUUCGUGGUCAUUGGGAUCUUCGUAUGUCUCGGCCUCUUUUACAGCUGAGAUUUCCAUUUGAGUUUGAAGCCUGGCACUACCAGAGCUAUCCUCAGUUGAAAACCACUCACCUGGGGUCUCCCUUUGUCUGCUUUUCUUCCUCUUCCUGGGGAACAGAUUUGAACCCUUGAUUUGACGCCUGAUAAUGGCCUCGUUCCCUAUUUUGACUGUGAUCUGACAGAGUGGCAGAGCAUCCCCAUCCACAGAUGGACCUGGACAAACAGGCUUAGCGAGGUUGCUUCAUGAUUUCCAAUUGAAUACAUCACAGAAAACAACAGGCAGCCAACUGCAUGCAGCCAAUUUUACAUAGACAGCAGUUGGUGAGUCAUCCGUUUCCGUUUUAAUAGCCCUUUCUUUCAAUCAUUACUGGUACACAGCAAAAGAGACACAUUGAUUCUCCCACCCACAUAUCUGUAUCAGAUCAAACAGAUACAGCAAUGAACUUAAUAACAUACAAAAGUUGUUGUUAGUGAUUAACAUUGUGAUAACAAUGAAUUUAAAAGCCAUAGAUUAAUAGUUUGGGCCUUGAAGUCUACCGACCUUUACCUCACAGGAUGGUUGAUGGUAAAUUCUAAGCCAACGUGCCUGUAGUUUGACAAGGGUGUUAGGUUCAAAUUGAAUCAUGUCUGAUUACUUUGGGCAGUGAGUCACUUCUUGAGUGAAUCAUCGUGCCUCAAAUAAGAUAGACUGUUUCAUUAAAACAAUAAAGUUAUUUUUUGUGGUGAAGUAAUGAAGUUAAAAUAGACUCUCUGCAUUUGAUUUCACAAUCUUGAUGAAUAAGAUCACCCAUUGUGUAAUAUAUUGAUCCACAGGAUCACUCAUUUCAUUUUGGAUUUCACAAUGUUCUCAGAGUUAGCAAGAUGCUCAGCUUGAUGGAAUAGCCUUUUAUAGGGAGACACCUUGGUUAUAUUGAUUGAUAAAAUCAAAUAAAAACAAUUACUAUGCUUUUGUUAGUCCGCAUGAUAAAUAGAGUACCAGAUAUAAGUAAUUAAUCUGACAGCAGAAAUUUGGUUCUGGCAAAAAAGUCCCAAAACAUUUUUAAAGAUUGUUCUGAUAGAUGGAUACCUCAAUAUCAAAAAAAAAAAAACUAUAUUAAAUGCCAUCCAAUGUACAUUUUUAACAUUUUUUUUUCUAAAGUAUUUGUUAUUUUGUAUAUUAUUAGUUUGUGCAGGUACCACGAGAACAACAUGGCCGUCACUAUUUACAGCCUCCAAUGACUAAAACCACGACCAGCCUCCUACCUCCCCCUCACACAGGCCUCCGUUGUCAUAGCAACAUGCUAUGGCGCAGCACUUAUUCGGAUUUAACCCAGACGG